rnacentral:rRNA from 1 species
UACGUAGGUGGCGAGCGUUGUCCGGAAUUACUGGGUGUAAAGCGCGCGUAGGCGGGAGGCCAAGUCUGUGGUGAAAUCGCUCGGCUUAACUGGGCGGGGUCCAUGGAAACUGGUCACCUGGAGGUCGGUAGAGGCAAGUGGAAUUCCCGGUGUAGUGGUGAAAUGCGUAGAGAUCGGGAGGAACACCAGUGGCGAAGGCGGCUUGCUGGGCCGGACCUGACGCUGAUGCGCGAAGGCGUGGGGAGCGAACGGG